rnacentral:rRNA from 1 species
CCCUUAGAUGUUCUGGGCCGCACGCGCGCUACACUGACGCAUUCAACGAGUCUCCUUGGCCGAGAGGCCUGGGCAAUCUUAUGAACCUGCGUCGUGAUAGGGAUAGAUUAUUGUAAUUAUUAAUCUUGAACGAGGAAUUCCUAGUAAACGCAGAUCAUCAAUCUGCAUUGAUUACGUCCCUGCCCUUUGUACACACCGCCCGUCGCACCUACCGAUUGGAUGGUCCGGUGAGGCCUCGGGAUUGUGGCCGGUGCAUUUAUUUGUGUCGGUUGCGAGAACUUGUCCAAACCUUAUCAUCUAGAGGAAGGUGAAGUCGUANCA